rnacentral:rRNA from 1 species
UGGGGAAUAUUGCGCAAUGGGGGAAACCCUGACGCAGCGACGCCGCGUGCGGGAUGAAGGCCUUCGGGUUGUAAACCGCUUUUGAUUGGGAGCAAGCUUUCGGGUGAGUGUACCUUUCGAAUAAGCGCCGGCUAACUACGUGCCAGCAGCCGCGGUAAUACGUAGGGCGCAAGCGUUGUCCGGAUUUAUUGGGCGUAAAGCGAGCGCAGGCGGUUAGAAAAGUCUGAAGUGAAAGGCAGUGGCUCAACCAUUGUAGGCUUUGGAAACUGUUUAACUUGAGUGCAGAAGGGGAGAGUGGAAUUCCAUGUGUAGCGGUGAAAUGCGUAGAUAUAUGGAGGAACACCGGUGGCGAAAGCGGCUCUCUGGUCUGUAACUGACGCGGAGGCUCGAAAGCGUGGGGAGCGAACAGG